rnacentral:rRNA from 1 species
UACGGGGGGGGCAAGCGUUGUUCGGAAUUACUGGGCGUAAAGGGCUCGUAGGCGGCCAACUAAGUCAGACGUGAAAUCCCUCGGCUUAACCGGGGAACUGCGUCUGAUACUGGAUGGCUCGAGUUUGGGAGAGGGAUGCGGAAUUCCAGGUGUAGCGGUGAAAUGCGUAGAUAUCUGGAGGAACACCGGUGGCGAAGGCGGCAUCCUGGACCAAUUCUGACGCUGAGGAGCGAAAGCCAGGGGAGCAAACGGG